rnacentral:tRNA from 1 species
GGAGGGGUGGCAGAGUGGUUAUUGCAAUAGAUUGCUAAUCUAUGAACCGAUAUUUUGGUUCCCCGGGUUCAAAUCCCGGUCCCUCCGCCA